rnacentral:rRNA from 1 species
UGGGGAAUAUUGGACAAUGGGCGCAAGCCUGAUCCAGCCAUGCCGCGUGUGUGAAGAAGGCCUUUUGGUUGUAAAGCACUUUAAGCGAGGAGGAGGCUACUUGGAUUAAUACUCUAGGAUAGUGGACGUUACUCGCAGAAUAAGCACCGGCUAACUCUGUGCCAGCAGCCGCGGUAAUACAGAGGGUGCGAGCGUUAAUCGGAUUUACUGGGCGUAAAGCGUGCGUAGGCGGCUUCUUAAGUCGGAUGUGAAAUCCCUGAGCUUAACUUAGGAAUUGCAUUCGAUACUGGGAAGCUAGAGUAUGGGAGAGGAUGGUAGAAUUCCAGGUGUAGCGGUGAAAUGCGUAGAGAUCUGGAGGAAUACCGGUGGCGAAGGCAGCCAUCUGGCCUAAUACUGACGCUGAGGUACGAAAGCAUGGGGAGCAAACAGG